UACCCGCCAGAAAAUUACGAGCGAAAAGCUUAAAACUCAAAGGACUUGGCGGUGCUCCAUACCGACUUAGAGGAGCCUGUCCUAUAAUCGAUACUCCACGCUAAACCUCACCAAUCUUUGCACACUCAGCCUAUAUACCGCCGUCGUAAGCCUACCUCAUGAGAGAUAAGCAGUAGACUCAACAGCCACACAACUAAAACGUCAGGUCAAGGUGUAGCUAAUAGGUUGGAAGAGAUGGGCUACAUUUUUUAAAAUAAAACAAAACGACAUGGUACUAUGAAACUAUUACCUGAAGGAGGAUUUAAUAGUAAAACUAACAAGAAAGUUAAUUUUAAAC
rnacentral:rRNA from 1 species